rnacentral:lncRNA from 1 species
ACUUUGAUGAAUCUUUUUAAUCAUAGCCUUUUAAAAUGGAAUUCUAAGUAUAAUGUAUUUAUAAGCUCAAUUUGAACAUUAAAAAAGAAAAAAUCGCUUAAAAAGUUAAUUUUGUGUUUAUUAAAAUAGUAGAAGUAUUUUAAAAAAAAUUAUUUAAAUCAUAUUAGUCUUGUAAAGAUUACAUCUAAGAAAAAAAAAUAGAUAAGAUUUAU